rnacentral:lncRNA from 1 species
UAGCCUGUUGAGGGCAAAGCUAAAACCUGCCUUAAUAAAGCACAGGACAAUAUUUUCUCAUUACAGUCUCAUACAGACACUAAAGGAUAAGCCACUAACACAGUGCAUGGUGACUUGUAUGUUCUGUGGCCAGAAUUUCAUGACGAACCAUGUUGACGUCUGUGAAAUUUUGUUGCCCAGUUUGAGCUGAAAGUGUAUUGCCGAAGAUGGUCUUGGCCAUUUGUAAAUUAACAGAGGAAUUGAUUGUCCUGCUCUGCUGUAUGUUUGCAUUCCUUGGUGAGCGCAGCGAGGGUUCACAGUGCUGUAAAGAGACAAAGACUGGAUGGGUUCUCAAGAACUUUGAAUAA